GUCACAGGAGAGCUUUAUAAAAGAGAGAAUCCCAACCUCUUCGGGCUCUCCAAUCUCACUCAGGGAAACCCACUAAUAUCCUUCUCUAGCGAGGAUCCGAACCUCAUCCGCCAUUACCUUCAAGAAUGUUCAUUCUCGAUCUAGUUGAUUAUCUAUCUUCGCGGCCAAACCACUCGUCAUAGCUUCGCGGCGGAGUCUGACAGCCACCGUCAAACGUUCGUGAAUCAUAGGUAGCGGCGACGUGAGAACAGAACGCGAUCGAUUGUAGCUUCAUUGACCAUCGCAUGGAACCCUACUGGUGCUGCUGAGAAGGUUCAGCAGCCGUCACUCUCCCUUUGUCCCUCACUGAACGCUUUGCUAGGGUUGCCCUAAGGUCCACUUCGAGCUAGCUCAAACUCAGUCUCCACUCACCUGUUGACCAUCCUAAGGGCAGUUUUACUUCCUAAGUGCGUGUCGGAGCGUUCCGCUAGCUUGUUUUCCAGGUGCGGGAAGUUAGGGUUUCGAGUUUGAGUUGUCCUUAAUCUGUUUUUGGGUUGCCUUUGAUCUGUUUGAGCCUACUGAAUGUUUGUAUGGAUAAAUCGCGGUUUGUGGAUCUUGUACGAUGGAAGGAUUUGGAAAAAUUG